rnacentral:misc_RNA from 1 species
GGAAGUAAAGUCGUAACAGGGUUUCCGUAGGUGAACCUGCGGAAGGAUCAUUAUUGUAUAACCGAGGUGCGAGGGCUGUCGCUGACCCGAAAGGUCGUGCACGCCCGAGUGCCCUCACACACAUCCAUCUCACCCCUAUGUGCACCACCGCGUGGGUCCCCCUUUGGCUUGUUCGGAGGGGGGCUUACGUUUUCACACAAACUUUGUAUGCAGUGUAGAAUGUAUUUUUUGUUUUUGCGAUCACGCAAUCAAUACAACUUUCAACAACGGAUCUCUUGGCUCUC